rnacentral:lncRNA from 1 species
UGAUGCAGAAGUUGGGUUGUGUUUUCAUCUUCAACAUACAGAGGUUCACCAAACAAACUCAUCAUUAAGUUGUCUUCGUGACUAUGAAAUUCUCCAGUAGCUAAUUUAGACACAUUUUUUCCAGAUGGGGAGCUAGUCCUCAACACAGGUUCCAGAUUCCUUAUGGUGUUGCCUUCAUGACUAUGAGAUUCUCCAUUGCCAUGGUUAAACGUUUUAGUUUCAAAACCCGGUGGUUUCUCCAGUGUACCAAAUUCACCCUCAGCAACCUGGUCAUUUUUCUUUAAAGGCUCUGCAUGUAUUUGUGAGUAUGCAUUAGUUCUAGAAUGGUGCAGAAGUUGGGUUGUGUUUUCAUCUUCAACAUAUAGAGGUUCUCCAAACAAAUUCAUCAUCAUGUUCUCUUCAUGAUUAUGAGAUUCUCGAGUGGUUGACACAUUUUUUCCAGAUGUGGAGCUAGUCCUCAACACAGGUUCCAGAUUCCUUAUGUUGUUGCCUUCAUGACUAUGAGAUUCUCCGUUGCCAUGUUUAAACAUUUUAGUUUCAAAACCCGGUGGUUUCUCCAAUGUACCAAAUUCACCCUCAGCAACCUGGUCAUUUUUCUUAAAUGGCUCUUCAUGUAUUUGUGAGUAUGCAUUAGUUCUAGAAUGAUGCGGAAGUUGGGUUGUGUUUUCAUCUUCAACAUAUAGAGGUUCUCCAAACAAAUUCCUCAUCAUGUUCUCUUCAUGAUUGUGAGAUUCUCGAGUGGUUAAUUCAGACACACUUUUUCCAGAUGAGGAGCUAGUCCUCAACACAGGUUCCUGAUUCCUUAUUAUGUUGCCUUUGUGACUAUGAGAUUCUCCAUUGGUGAAUUUAGGCAUAUUUUUUCCGGAUAAGGAACUAGUCCUCAACUCAGGUUGCCCAAGCAGUAUCUUUGAAGACUGAUCAUUCAUAUUACGCUCUUUG